rnacentral:rRNA from 1 species
CGGGGUGGAGUAAUGUAUGGGGAUCUGCCUGAUGGCGGGGGAUAACUACUGGAAACGGUAGCUAAUACCGCAUAACGUCGCAAGACCAAAGAGGGGACCUUCGGGCCUCUUGCCAUCGGAUGUGCCCAGAUGGGAUUAGCUAGUAGGUGGGGUAACGGCUCACCUAGGCGACGAUCCCUAGCUGGUCUGAGAGGAUGACCAGCCACACUGGAACUGAGACACGGUCCAG